CACCGCGGUUAUACGAGGGACCUAAAUUGAUAGACAUCGGCGUAAAGCGUGGUUAAAAAAGAAAGCACUAAGAUCGAAAACUUUUAGCACUGUUAUACGUAUUCAAAAGUUGGAAGCUCAAUUACGAAGGUGAUCUUACCCCUUUGAACCCACGAAAGCUAUGACA
rnacentral:rRNA from 1 species